GGUAAACAACCUUAGGUGUUAGGAAACACUUGAAAUGAAGUGUUACAAUCACAUAUGAUUGAAAGAAAGGAGUUCACGGCCACACUAUACGUGUUUACGGCUAUAGAGGUGUUUACGGCCACACACAUGAAGUGUUUACGGCCAAGACUUGUUCUUAUGAAGGGUUUACGGCCACCUCAAGAUCUUAUGAAGGGUUUACGGCCACCUCAAGAUCUUAUGAAGGGUUCACGGCCAUGGAUGAAGGGUUUAUGGUCAUGAACUCUUGAAGAUCAUGCACUUGGGUGUUUGUUUCUUGGCUGGAAUCAAGUGUUUCUAAUGUAUAACAAGAUAAUAGAAGAGUUACUCAUGUUUUGGAAGUCUUUAGGGAGUUUACGGCCCAAGAACAAGUGUGUGGUCUUGGUGUUCUUGGUGUAAAGGAUGAUGACUUGAAGAUCUAAACCAAAAGUGUUGAAUUCAUGGAUGAAAUCAAAGAGUUUCAUGUGAAUAAGAAGGAUAUCAAGUGAAUAUGGUAGAAUCACUUAGGAUUUUGAAGAGAAAGGAGAGUGUUCUUGAUGAUACUUGAGAGAGUUUUGAGAAUUCUUGACUUGAAGAUGUGAGAAAUGAAGAAUAAUGACGGAACACCAUACUUAUGAUGAGGAUUUCACGGCCAUCAUGAGUUCACGGCCGUAAACCCUCGUUUGCGGCUGUGAACUCUUUAUGAAGGUGUUUCCGACUCAAUUGCAACUCAAUGAUCUCAAGUUAAUACUUUCUAACACACAAUCCUUGAGUGUACUAGGCUUAGAACUCUCAAACAGACCCUUAACAAAGCUAUAAGUUAACAGAAACAAGUCUGACUUUUGAUUGAAUUGAUUGGCUUUACAAGAUAGAAAAAUAAUGGGAUGUUACAAAAUCAACAGCCUUGGCAGCCCUCUUCAUGGCUAACUCACUAAUAAAAUCCGCAUCUCUACUAGCAGCUCCCCCAAGAAGCUUCACCCCCACUGACGGUCACCCAAUAUCAAUAGGGAAUAAACCUGUACGAAGCUUCCUACCAUCGCAUGAAGGCCAAAAUAGCUUAGUUUUCUUGAUAUUCAGCUCAAGCCCCAAUCCUAGGCCUACCACCCUAAUGAUGUCCAAUACUCUAGCCAGCUCCUCUAAAUCUCUAGUGACGGUCCCAUCAUCGAGGUACCAAGCAUGAAGAAGAAGCUUGCAAUUGUCUCUAAUUUGAUGUAUAAGUGGGUGCAGUACAAGAGCAAAAAGAAGUGGUCCCAAAGGGUCGCCUUGCUAGACCCCAGUAGUGGACCAAAUAUGCUUAUCUCCCAAAUACAACCUUGUUGCAUGUCCAUAUAAGAAUUCAACCCAUAAGGAAAUGGAAGGGCACCUAAUCCUGACCUCAUGAAGUAAGUAAGUUCAAUCCACUAAAUUUAAGGCAUUCAAGAAAUCCACAGUAAGCAUAGCAAGAGAUCCAUCAUCAUGACGUGCACUCAACGCCCUACUGACACUAUGAAUUAUAGCUUCAGCGCCACCCGACACACCUACUCCAAAUUGAAAGUCAUUAAGGUAUUGUGCCAUUUCUUUACCAACUCCGUUCAUAGCAACCUUUGAGACCAAACGCCUCCAUAUAGUGCCUAUAGCAACAAGGCGGAUUUCAUUGUCAGGUUUUAGGAGCGGAGUAAGAGGUGCAGAUGCUACAAAUUCUGCUAGACAUGACAGACAUCUUCCCCUAGCCACAGAUUAACCAUUGCGGUGUUGGCAUGUAAUAGAUCUGUAGCUAUAGCAAACCCUUCCCCACAUAGAGCGUCCAAAAUGUGUUGAGCUCUCAAGCCGUCUCUCCCACACGAAGUUCCUUUAGGAAACAAUUUAAUACAACCAAUGACAUUGUCAAUGUAUACUAUAAGGGAAGGCUCAGAAUAAAUGGUGCUCGACAUGGAUGCUUAGCCUCUAAAGCUUUGGUAGUGUCACUAUCAUGUGAAGCAACACUCAAGGAGAACAACACUUUCACUGUUGCUGUAAAAUGUCCAUCAGCAACCUUACGGAGACACUGUCUGACGUUGGUGUUGCCCUUAGUUCUACCAUCUUGAAAGUGUUCAGCUUUUUGGCCCGAUGAGCCAAGACCUACAUUGUCAGACAUAUUUUCAACUAAUGUGACAAUACUGUCCUCUUUGCCCCAUGUAGCUAAAGAAUUCAAUAUGCAAUGAUUUUGUUCCCAGACCUACGUUCUUGUCUGUUAUUAGGCAUGAACACUUGCAAAGUACAUCAGGGAAGAAGCAAUAGCCUAACCCAUGAUUCCACAUACUCAGGGUGAGCGGCCACCUUAUUAAGAGUUGUUUGCAACACUUGAUAGAAAGCCACACAACAACUAUGAGGGAUACUUUUGAUGGUCGUGAUAGGCGCCUUGAAAACACGAUCAAGCAGUUCAGCAUCUAAAGCCAUCCCUCCAAGUGCUACGGUUUCAUUCCCUAUGGAAGCUGUCUAAAGUAUCCCUUUUCUAUAAAGCAUCCAAAGCCAUCCCUCCAAUUGCUAUGGUUUCAUGCCCUAUGGAAGUUGUCUAAAGCAGCUCAACUUGAUUGCUUUCAGUCGGUUAUUUUUCUGUAAAUAUCUGCAAGUCAUUUACAAAUACUAGAUUAGCAUUUAAGUACCAAUUAGUUGAGUGUUAUAUGAAAAGUAUAAGUUCUAUCUAGUAGAUACCUGAAGUACUAGUCUCUUCCAAACUUUCUUUCUAGGUAAGAGGAACAGUUCCUCUUCUAAUGUCCAGUUUCUCCACAAAAGAAACAACAUCCAUCUAUGUGGGCCUUAUUGGAUUUCUUGGGCUUAAAAGUGUUUAUUCCAUAAAACAUUGGCCUUUUUGAUCAUUUUAGUCUUGCACUAUUCUAAUGUUAGAACAAAAUAUCACUGUAUUUAUUGGAAUAUUGUUUAACAUGUUAUAUCANNNNNNNNNNNNNNGACUUCUUGGAAAUCAGGAAUAACUAUUCCAAGUUUAAUGUUAUAAUCAUCUUUAGCAUCACAGUGAUGCCUUUACUAGGUGUCAUGUUCAGGUUUAUUGCUCAAACCAAGUUGUUUAAGACUGACCUUUAAGUGUAUACAAUUCCACAUCUCUCACGAGAUUGUCUCUCAAGACAUCAACCCAUUCAUUGAAGUUGUAUCUAUUAAAUGUUAUUAUUUCAUUAAGCCAUUAAAGAAAAUGACAAUUCAUGGUAAUGAGAAUGGAUUAUUUUUCUACAAAAUUUUAACAAAAUUCAUUUAGUAUUUUUAAUAUGUAAUCUUUAAUAAUUAAUACCAUUUUAGUUUCCAAAAACAUUAAUUAUCAAAGUCUAGGAAUCAAGUUGCAAAAUAAAUGAAUGGUUAGGUAGCCUUUAUCUCAUGCAUUUGAGUUCAACCUGAUAGAUAUCGCUUAUCAAUUAUAUCUUACUAUAUAAAUCCCAGACUUAUGGGAUCGCUAAUAACAAAUUUAAUUAGACAUGUUUGAUCCCAUCUAUGCCUCGAAACUCUCUUUCUUAGGUAUCCUUUAUCACAAAAGAUUGCCAAUCAAAUCAUCUAAUUUAAAAAAUAUGUGUAAUCAUCCUAUAACUUGGUUAUAGAUAUAGCAAAGACACCUCGGCGAUCAAAAGAUAACACUAAGCGGUUACGUGUCAUUUAUCCUACUAGUGCAUACAAGAGAUGUGCGGGUGUUCUUCAAAAUGGAAUUCAUAGAUUUGAGGUUUGUAAAGGGUCUUUUAUAUGUUUUAUAAUUCUAGUUUUAAAAACAUAUGGUGUCAUGGUUAUUACAUGCAUGUAAUAAGCCAUGGUACAAAUUUUCAAAAGAAAAACAUUUUUAAAAGUUCAAAUAUAACAUCCGGUUUUAUAUUUUGACGAGGUUCAUUUUUAACGAUAAUAUCCAAUAUUAAGUUUGAGUUUGAUCCAUAUAGAACCUUAUUUAUUACUUAAUAAAACUUCAUUUUAUUAUUAAUAUGAUGGAGUUUGAGUAAGUUAUAAAAUCACCAUUUUAGACUUAUAAUUUUACAAUUUCAAAAUUUGAUGUUAUUAACAUUUUAAUAAAACUGGUUUUUAUUUUAAAGUUAUAACUUGUUACAUCUUAUGUUCUCAUUUUCUAAAUUGAAAACCAAACUCCAUGUGAUGUUUAUUUUGUCCAAAAAAUAGUUUGAGUUUGUGAAAAGCCAAAUUAUCAACCACACAAAAUAUUUACUUGAAAAAUGAAAAAUAAACAACACAAGAAUGCAUUUAACAUAAACAAACAUUGAUCUAGUUAACACUUUUGUGAGCCAACACAAAAGUGUUAAGUCAUUCCUAAGGGAUAAAGGGACCAAAUAUAACAACUUGUUCUUCAUGUGAUCUUCAAGCUCUCACUUGCAAUGACAACCAAAUUUGUUGCAAUUUUAUAAAGAUUUUAUAAAAGUUAUGAACUUUUAUAAAAUGUUCAUAAAACCGUGGGUCUCCAUGGUUCUUCAAGAAAUGACCUCCAUCUUCAUCUUGUUACAUAUUUUAUAAAAUAAAUCUAGUCUAAAACUAAUCUAUUACAUAAAAUAACAAGAAUAAAAAGUAGCUAUUAUUAUUAGAUAUUUUAUGAAUAAAAUAAUAUCACAAACCAUUUUUAACCAAAUCACACAAACAACAACACAAAUGGUCCAAUGCUUGUUUAUGCACUAUAAAAAUACAUAUAAAAAUAAAACAACCUUUGUUUUUAUAAGACAACUUUAAGUGACAAAAAAUACAUGUAAGUUUUUGUCAUAUAAAAUAACAAGUAAGAAGUUGUCAAAGAAAAUAUUAUGAACUUAUUUUUAUGCAAAAACAAGUUAUCCAUAUUCUCCAAAAACUAAGAUUUCCAAAAAUCAUAAAUUCUAACCAAACUUGUAAUGUGUCUCUGAUACUAAUUGUUGGGUUUUUAUUCAAAAAUAGUUUCAAAAAACACAAGAUAUUGGAAUGGAAGACUUUGAUUUUGAACAACAUAAAACAAGUUUAUAACCAAUCAUGGAUCUUCUUGCAAAGUUUGGAAUUAAAACAAGCACAAAAGAAGAAGAAGAAGAAGAGUUUAACAACCUUUGUAGACUUUGGAUCCUCUAAGGGAGGCUUGGAAGUUGAUGGAGAAUGGAUGAACCUUUGAGACACCAACAAUAACUCGACUUAAUUUAAGAUGAUGGUAUUGUAAAACUCUUAAGCUUUAAGUUUAUAACCAAUGUAUGAACUUAAAGAGAGAAACAUGCAGGUGUUCUUUCAAGUGUAAAAGCAAAAACAUGAGAGAAUGAGUAUGCCAAGCAUACUCAUGGUUUUGGCAUGUAAAAAGAUCAAAAAUAAAAGUCUUUCAUGCACUCUCUUAAAUUUAAAACAAUAUACAUGAGUCCUUAACCAAUUAAGCACACAUGUCAAAAAAAGAACUUAUCCUCUAUGUCUUUAAGAAAUAGCCAUGUUUUUUAUUAAACAAAUCAAAAGGUCAUGUUUCUUUUAUUCUUUCUUAUAAAUAAAGAAGAUAAAAGUUUAUAAAUUUUGUAAACUUCUUUUAUAAAAUAUAAAGUUUGGCUUUUGGCUAAAAGACAAAAGUCUUUCUAGUCCAAAAUAAUGUACAUGACUUAAUAAAUCAUAACAUAUGAUAUAUUAUGUUACUUGCUAAUAAAAAAUUAUUAUUUCCAAGAAUUAAAUAAUUUUCAAUUAAUUAUAAGAUUUUAUUGAAUAUUUAUUAAAAUCAGUUUCUAAUAAAUAAUAAAUUAUAUCAAGUUAUUAUUAGUGUGACCCAUUAGUAUCAUAUGUUAAUUAGCAAUAUCAUUUUAAUAUGAUUCUUGAGCAUACAAGAUCUUUCAAAGAUGAUUGUGUAGCUUAAUGGAUUAAGGGAUUAAUCUAUUAAGUUUUCCAAGAUCAAUUUAUACGACGUGGCUAUAUGUUCACCACUUCGUGACAUAUGAAGUUCUCGUAACCGUUUUGUCCGGAGAUUGCCACGUCGUGGCAAAUGAUGGGUCACGACAUAGUGGCCAACAAAGUUGUCUUUUGGGGUGUUGACUUUCACCGUUGAUCAUUUACUUUUUGAACAAUUUGACUUUUGGUCAAACCUUGGUAGAAUUGAGUGUUUAUCUAAGAUCUAGUCUCGGUUUCACAUUAGGUAGCUUGUGUUAGUUGUUCUGAUUGUCGAGGUUUGUUGUUAAGCUUCUGCUAGAUAGCUCAGGUGAGUUUUCUCACUAUACUUUUUACUACAAUAUGUUUCCUUGUGUGUAGAGUGUUGGUAUGUUUUAGUGAUCUGUUUGAUUGAUAUAUCUGUUAUGAUUACUUGUAUUGCUCACUAUUAUCUAUUUAUUUGUUUAUGUGCAUAUGUCUAUAUAUUGUGGUUAGUGGGGUUGAGGCGGUCCUACUUUGUGUUGUAGGUCAAGACACUCGGGCAGUCCAGUGUAUUGUAGGCCUUGCGAGGUGGUCCAGUCAGACUGUAGGCCCAAGGGAUCAAUCUAGCUAUUGUAGGCCUUGCUAGGUGUGCCAGUAGACUAUAGGCUCGGUAGAACAGUCCAGGCAUCCUGUUAGCCUUACGAGGCAGUCCAGGCAAACUGUAGGCUCAUGUGUGCAUGCAUUGUAUGUGUAUUGUUGUAUGAGGUAUUUUGGGGGAACUCACUAAGCUUUGGCUUAUAGUUGUGGAUUCAAAUGUUUUUCAGAUACUUUUCAGAUUUUGAAGGCGGGACUGUACACACGCACAUCAAUGAUUUUAUGUUUCGAGAUUCCGUAAUGUUUUCCUUAUAACUCUAAUUUUGAAUUAUGAUUUAUGAACAAAUGGUUUGACUGUUAAUGUAACUUUAUAAAAUGGGUGUUUAUUCUAUUCCAAAAAUGAAAAAUUUUACUAUGGUUUUGGGAUGUUACACAUGUAACAUAAACACAUAACAUAUAUUAGCAUAUUACAUACCCUUGGUAAUUAGUCCUCUCUAAUUACCCUGCAAUUAACCAAUUCUUUAAUAAGUCCUUCGCUAGUCAAUUAUACAAAUCUUGGUAACUGGCCUUUCCCAGUUACCCUAACCAAACAUAACUCCUAAUAGUAUCAUACAAACAACAGGCAAGACCCUACCGGUCUAGCAUACCAUGACACCAAGUGUCCUAAACUACACAUGCAUAACAAGGAGUUAUCCUAGUAAACUAGAUAUCGUACUCUAACAAUACCUCUGUUCUACCAUGCAAAGGAUAUACAGUGGGAUACGUGGCAUAGUGAGAAACUCACCUGAACCGAAGAAUCGGAGAAGCACAACAACACUCUCAUUCCUUGCACUGACCAAUCCCACAAACCGACUAAAACCAAAUAAAGAUCAAUCCUCAAUUAAGAACUCAAUUCCUUCAAGUUUAACUUAAGGUCAAACUGGUAAAAAGUCAAUGUUCAAUGGUCAACAAAAUUCAACGGUCAACCAAGGUUAACAGCCACCUCUUAGUUGUGCAGAGUCGCGAGGCUGAACCCCACCAUGACCUGGUGACCUCUUGUCCACGUAGUGGUUAUUGCUAAAAGUCAUUCUCAUUAAGAGUUUAAUCCUUACAGAUCAAGGCUCAAACUUCCAGAUAUGAUUCUUCUUAGUAAUUUAAUAGAUAAAGUUUCCAACUUUAUCCAUUAGGACCUUACCACAAGUCAAGAUCUUAAACCCUAAGUCAAUAAGUCCUUAAUAUGACCAAAACAUGUGCAUUGAACAAAGGGGACCAUGAGUUAACACUUUUUCCAUCAUAUAAGGCCAAAAGAUGGUCACCAAACAAGCCUAAGGUUCUAGAGUUUCCUAAAACUCCAAGAACAUUCCUUUAAAGUACUUCAAGGCAUGAAAUAAGAGAAUAGAAUGAUAAACGCGGAGGCUUUAUACCUUCCCAAGUUCCAUAAGAUGCACGAGAUGCAAUAUCUAAAGUAGAUACACUCUUCCAAUUAGCAAUCACACAUUUUUCUUCUUCUCAAGGUGCAAUCCAAGGCUUCAAACGUCAAGAACUCCAAGAACACAUCAAGAACGCUCAAAUGAGGCUAGGGUUUUCGAGAUAGAAAGGUGGAUGCUGAAGAGAAUGACCUAACCCUAAAGUUAAGGUCAUUAAAUAUGAAGGAAACCCUAAAAAUUGUAGGCUUGACCUGCAUCAGUCGUUAUGUCGUGGUGUCCAUCAGGACACGUGUCACUUUAGUCUCAUUCCACGUCGUUGUCAUCAACCAACCACAUGGUGGCAUAUGUUUUUUUUCUUUCCAAAAACCACAUCUUUGUCCUCCUUAAAUCUUUUUAAUUAGUCCGAUCUCAAAAAAGGAUGUGAUAGUAGUUACUAAAAUUUUAAUACUUUAUAAGUUCCACAUUCCUAAAAGAAUUCCCAACUAGUUCAAUCGUGUGGAUUAAACCCAUGCCUAUAAAAAAUAAAUCAAGUGAGUUAACGAACUAUCAUGAAAAAAUUUCUAUCAGUUUUCUCAUGUACUAUACCUGCUGCAUUAAGUACAUACAUAAGUAGCAAGACCGACAUGCUACAACGAACACAACCAUUUACGUAAAAGCGAUGCAUGUGAACAGUGAACUCUUCACCAUAUCCCCGUUUCAAAUUAAUCCCUUUGUCCUUCAUGCUACAAAAUUUAGUAAUUAGUAUCAAGCAUUAACAUUUGUACUUCACGUAUUAAGUCUUGUAAUUGACACGUGUCGAGAUAGAAGUAUGAUGAAUGAUUUAUUUUAUCCAAGAAUGUUCAAAUGAUAGCCAUGAUACAAUCCUUAGCCUGACAACCCUCAUGGAAUCUGUGGCCAACGUAACACUCCCGUGAAUGAUUUGGGUCGCAUUUGCCUACUUUGGAGCUACUCACAUUUCCAACCAAUAUACCAACAAAAUAAUAUGAUUAUUAAAGUGGCUAGCUUCAACCCAUGCUACCAAAAUAGUGAAACUCCAAAAAUUAAAAGGUUGUUAAUGAUUAAAUAGAUAAGAUUAAAAGUUCAACCCAUGCUACGAAAAUAGUGAAACUCCAAAAAUAAAAAGGUUGUUAAUGAUCAAAUAGAUAAGAUUAAAAGAUUGAUUAACGAAAGAAUAAGUCAAAUAGUUUGAAAACCACUUGAAAAAUAUGCAAGUGCUUUAAAGACCUUAUUUUAUUGAGAAAAUAAUCAUAAUAGCCAAAAUUUCAAGGUUUUUCUACAAAAUGGCAAAAAAAUGAAAAAAAAUUCACGUAUGAAAUCAUUUUUAUUUUCCAGUUUCAAAUAUUCAUAACUUUUUCAUAUUUUAUAGAAAUUUUUUGAGCUAAAAUGUUUUUUAUUAUGCUCUUUCUAACAACUUUCUAUGGACAUAUUACAUUUUAAAUUUGGAUGUUGCAAAAUCAUAUUUUAUUAACUUCAAAGUAGACUAUUUGGUGAAAAAAAUAUUAAAAAAACAAACAAGCAAACAAAGUUAACUUUUGAUCAUUCAUAAAUUUUGCAUACAAACUUCCUUUGGAUUGAUUUUUUUUUAUUGUGUUCUUUGUAACAAAGGAUAUUCAUAAACAUAUUACACUCCUAAUUUGGAUGUAAGGAAAGUCAAAUUUUUGUAACUCCAAACUAGGUUAUUCGAUGAAAAAAUAUGAAGAUUUGUUUUAUAAAUUUCGAAUAUAGACUUCAUAACAAUCACCGGGCCAUCUCGAUCAAUCACAAUAGUGAACUGAAAAAAUCUCAAAAAAAAAUGGAGGAACCUAGAUUUUAAUAGAUGGUGUCUGCGAAAUUGUGGCCAUUAUAGUUAAUUUUAUCUGAUUUUUGCUUAUUUUGUAGAAAAAAAACUUAGGAAAUUUGGUUAUUAUGUUUUAUUUUGUUUGUUGUAAUAUAAAAAAAAAUGUUAAAUGACAGUUAAUACUAUGUCGUCUAAAUUUCAUUCAGUUUGAUCUUUUGUCGACGAAUAUGUUUUUACCAAAAAAAUAUCACUAAAUGUUUCAAGACAUAAAUGUCAACUCAAGAGACUGAAAAACUUAAAUUAAAUCCAAUAAUUCAAAAGAACAGUAGUAGAAUCUGGAAGUUAGUAACUUAGUAUCAAAUAAAGAUAAAUUAUAAUAUCUUAUUAUUUGGGUAAAUUAUAAUACAAAAAUUAUAAUUAAGCAGAAAUUAAAAAAAAAAUGAGAAAUUAAAUAUUCUCCUACUUUUUGUUCCUAUAUAUCCUCCUACACCAUAAAAUGGUGACAUGUGUAAUAAUUAAUGCUCAUUUAAUGAGAUUUAAUGAUAUUUUAGGAUAUUAAUAUAACACAUAUCAUCAUUUAAAUGGGUAGAAGGAUUGAUAGGAUAGAAAAAUAUUAUUAUCAAUAAAAAAAAUAUUAAAUAGAAAUAAACCGAAAAUAAUCAAAAUUUGUUAUCAUUAAAUAAAAAAGUCUAAAUUUCGGAACAAAUUUAAAGAUCGUGAGUUCCAAUAUUAAUUUAUGUCAAAACUGUUUCUUUUGCGGUUACGAUGUUUUUUUUACAAUAGCUGAAUAGCUCAUUCACUGCUAGUUUGGUUUGGAGUUAUACUGGUUUUUGCAUGAUUGACAUAAUGAAUCCAAACCCUCGUGAAUAAUUCCCCUAUAAAAACAACUGCUUCUUCACCAGUAGAACUUACACAAUUUCCAGAAUGUCUUCAUGGGUUUCAUUCAUGGUGGUGCUCCUUUGUUUCUCCAUUAAUGGCGUCGCGGAUGCCAGACACCGGAAACAGCUGCACUCUCCAGCCAUUGUCGUCGGAACUGUCUAUUGUGACACUUGCUUCCGUCAAAAAGUAUCCAAAUCCACCCAUUUCAUUUCAGGUUCUUGUCGUUCAUCUUGUGAUAUGUACGUAUAUUGGUUUAUCUAGGGGGUUUUUUUUGUUAAUGGGUGUUGUAUUGUUUGUUUAGGUGCGAAGGUGGCGGUGGAAUGCGGCGGCGAUGGUGGGAAGCAGAGUUUCCGGGUAGAAGUGAAGACGAACGAGAAGGGUGAGUUUGAAGCUAAACUGCCGGUUUCAGUUGGUAGAAGUGUGGAGAAAAUCAAAGGGUGUUCAGUGAGAUUGAUUAGCAGCGGCCAGCCGUACUGUGCGGUGGCUGCCACCGCCACAUCGUCGGAGAUUCGUUUUAAGUCGAAGAAGGCGGGGACUCAUGUUUUCUCAGCUGGGUUUUUCACUUUUAAGCCCGAAUUGUGUAACCAGAAAGAUACUAUCGGAAAAGGUUUUCCACCGGCGCUUCCUGAUAUUCCUGCGCCGUUCUUGCCGCCGAUCGGUGGAGGUAUUUUACCUCCUCUUCCGGUGCCGGAUGUACCCAUGCCACCUCUAAUUCCCCCGCUACCACAGCUCCCUGGUAUUCCACUUCCACCUGUUACCCGCCAAAAAUCAUCGGAAUCCGAUAGAUUGGCCGAUCAAAAAAGUUUUGGUUUCCCGUUUCCACCGCCACUGUUCCCACCGCUGCCGUUUGUGCCAUCGCCGCCGUCAUUGAUUCCUCCCGUCAUUCCAACACCACCACCGUCACUGUUCCCUCCCCUCGUUCCAUCAACACCACCAUCAUUGUUUCCUCCCCUCGUUCCAUCACCACCAUCAUCGAUGUUUCCACCAUUGCCCUUUCCACCUGUACCAGGUUUGAUUCCAUCACCGCCGCCGCCACCACCGCCGGCGUUCCCAAUUCCUCUGCCUCCACUACCUCCGCUACCUCCGCUACCUCCAGUACCUCCGGUACCAGGAGUCCCACCGGCGAAAACCUCCCCUUGAUUAAACUCGUAUAUAUUUAAUAUUAUUACUGCAUAACCUUUUGAAGUAACCUUUCCAUACAUACGCGCGUAUUACAAUUAUGGGUAUUGUAAUUGUAGCAUGAAUAAAUCGUACAUGGUAAAAUGGUUGGGAUUC
rnacentral:lncRNA from 1 species